GAUGAAGAACGUAGCGAAACGCGAUAAGUAAUGUGAAUUGCAGAAUUUAGUGAAUCAUCGAAUCUUUGAACGCACAUUGCGCCCUUUGGUAUUCCGAAGGGCAUGCCUGUUCGAGCGUCAUUAUAACCACUCAAGCUCUCGGUUGGUAUUGGGGUUCGCGGUCUCGCGGCCCCUAAAAUCAGUGGCGGUGCCUGUCGGCUCUACGCGUAGUAAUACUCCUCGCGAUUGAGUCCGGUAGGUGACUUGCCAGCAACCCCCAAAUUUUUCAGGUUGACCUCGGAUCAGGUAGGGAUACCCGCUGAACUUAAGCAUAUCAAUAAGCGGAGGA
rnacentral:misc_RNA from 1 species